UAUUAUUUUGAAUUUCUUUUUCUUUUAAAAUUCAUAGUAAUUUCAUUUUUCAUCCAAAAAAUCCCAAAAUAAUUUCUAAAAUUCUCUAUUAUUUUUCUUCCUCUGAUUUUUAUUUUUCACAUUCUAUUUCACUGAUUUUCUAUUUUUGUUGAAUUUUCUCUUUUCUCCUUUAUUUAAUUGGCUUAAAAAUAUUUUUCGGCAUUUUUAAAUUCUGAAUAAAUUACUACAUGCUUCUUAUUUUAUUUUCAUCCUUUCAUAAAUUUUUUGCUCAUUUAUUUGGUGUUUU
rnacentral:lncRNA from 1 species